rnacentral:tRNA from 1 species
CCUUCGAUAGCUCAGUUGGUAGAGCGGCUCAGUUGGUAGACUGUAGAUCCUUAGGUCGCUGGUUCGACUCCGGCUCGAAGGA